UUUAUAGCGCGCGUAGCGCGCGCUUGUGUUGCUAGUACGUUAAAAGAUAAAUUAAAUAAUAUUAAAAGUGAAAAACAUAUGAUUAAAGUUUGUGCACGUGCAAUCUCUCUUUCUCUCUCUCUUUUUUUAAAUUGCUAACGAUUAGGAUAAUUUCGGGAUAGAUGGCCGCACAGAAGAGACGAUCAAUCGCUCUAAUUUCGCUACUGACUGCAGAGCUGUAAUACCAUACAAUCUCUGAUGAACUUUAAUUGUGUUUACAACAGGAUGUUUAACGUUUUAACAUCAUACUUGUGAAAAUAUUUUUAUUUAAACUUUACUAAACUAUUAACUAAACGAAAUACUAAAUAUUAGUCUAGAAUUACUUCUUUCAUCAUUUUUGUUUACUUUUACGUUAAUUUUAAGACUGCCUGAUUAACUUUCUUUGUACUUUAUGGGGUCAUCUCUAUAUGAAAGAGAUGGCCAAGAUUCUUACAUUUAAAAAAUUUGUAAAGAUUUUAUAUAUAUGUUUUGUUCUAAAAACAAUGUUUCAUGAAAGAAAACAUUUAAAUAAUAUUAGUCUAUUUUUUUAAGAGCUUUGUAUAUAAAAACAGGAUAUUUUCGGCAAUUAAAAACCUUAUGGUCAUCUGUCUUGGAGUUAUCCCAUAUCAAGAUAGAAAUAGUUACAUUAUACAUAUAUAACACAGAGUAAUUUGGCCGAAGAGAAGCCAAAAAUAGCAUAUUUCAAAAAUAGCAUCGAUCGCUUUGUACGGCUUCGUAUAACUCUUCACAGGUCAAAACAGAUUAAAUUUACUGGAUAUGGCCAAUCGCGCGAACGCUUGUUAACGUAACUUUAUACCCAGUUAUCAGGGAGAUUGGCUAAAACCGUACGCAAAUAUAACCAGCAAAUUUAGCAGACAUUGUCUGACUUUCUUCGUAACUAAUUUAUCAUACUUUGAGAGGAUUCAUAUAGCACGACUUCUUUUCGAGCGAUCUGAUUAUGGAACAUUUGAUUAUAUCGGUCACAUUGAUACGUCAUAAUUUUUAAUUAUGACGUAUCGGUUUUUAAUUGCCGAAAAUAUCCUGUUUUUAUAUACAAAUCGCGGAACUAGAUUAUUGUAAGAAACGCGAUGUAUCUAAAAAAAACAAAAACCCGAUAAUAAAACAUAAAAACAGAAAAAGAGUGUCAUGUCAGAAUCGAAGUUUGAAGAAAGAGAUUACUAUACUAUUUCUAUAUCGCAGAUGUAUCGAUCGUCUCGAUAUACAAAGUAACUUUACGGUUUAUAGGACGUUGCAGAUUUUUGCCAAUUAUUUGCGUCGUUCACUCAUACAUCUAAUUGCAGCGUCUGUUUAUUUAUAUUGCAAGUGUUUCAUAUUGUGAACACGUUCCACAAUAUCAUCGAGAGAGCAUAGACAAACAUAUCCCUAUCUCGCACCCCUCUCGAUUCAUCUAUUCUGCCAUACUCGGGGGAUUGCUGAUGAUCCCCCUAUUCUCCAUCUUGGCCCCUUUUUGACAGUGAGCGUAAAGGGAUCGCAGGUAUUAUUUAUUUGUCCACGCCAUUCGCAACGUUAUAACUCAAAUCGCGGAAUUGGAUUAUCCUCAUGAGAAACGCGAUGUAUCUAACAAAAACCCAAUGAUAAAACGUAAAAGAAAAAGAGUGUCCUGUCAGAAUCAAAGUUUGAAGAGAUUGUCACUAUUUCUAUAUCGCAGACGUAUCGAUCGUCUCAAUAUACAAUGUAUAGUAACUUUCUGUGACUUGUGAUUUAAUUUUCUUGAUGCUGAAGUUAUCCUGAAAGCUUUCUUUCUUAUCUAACAAUGCAGAAUUAUAUUCGGUAGUGCAAUGUAAUGCUAUCACAACGCAUAUCAGUACAACGUGAUCCGUUUCAAGCAAAGCAUCACAUGUUUGUUUAUUUAUUAAAGCUAUUCUACCAACAAGAGUGUUUAGGAUUUAUAAAGGCUUCAACUCAAUCUUGAUGAUACUGCGAGUAUUGUCGCUGGUAAACGAUGUCAGUGACAGUGAGAUUAAGGUACUUAGUCGCCAGUGGCGCAUCAAAAGGGAAGAUCCAUUCUGUAGCUCGGUGACACGUAUUGUUGGUAAACGCGUCUUUUGUCAUCCAAUUGAUCCUGGAAUGUGCCAUCUGCGACGCAGGAAAACUACACGCGGUGACAAUCUUGGAUGGCGUCUUUGCCCUCACAUAUCGGAGUUACGUCAAAACGUCGCGAAGACUGCGACGUGAAAACUUUCAAAGUGGAAAUACAUUUAUCUCCAACACUGUAUUCUUUUAAAUAAACUGACAACGUUGAAAGGAUGUCAGAAUGAAAUAUACAUUCCUUCUUUCAUCAAAGCAUCACCGAUGGAAUUCAACGUACUAUCGACAUUAAAUCACACAGAAAAUUUGACGAGGAUGUGGAAUAACCGUACGAUUAUAUCACGCCGUUGAAAAGCGUAAGCUGCUUGUGCAUAUCGAUUGCAAUCCAAUGUUGCACUGUGCGCGCUCGAUUUAACUAUCGCCGGAAAUAAUUGCAGAUUCAAACAAUGCUGCGCUGCCUAAUACUUAAUGUUCAGUUGCUAUACAGUGUCGAAUCAGAUCGCACGCAUAUAAAAAUAAACGCGAUGCGAUACGAAACGUUAUACUUUCGUCCUCAUGUUUUAGUCAUUUUUUAUCAACGACUGUGCUCAUGAUAGAUGGAACAAAAUCACGUCUCGUAGAAAUUUAAUUCAGAUAUCAAAUCAGAAGAGCAUGUAAUAUGCAGAAGAUAUGAUUGAUUAAUAAAUUAACGAAAUUAAUAUUGAUUAAUGUAGAUGAGCAAGUUAGUGAAUCAAUAUCCUACGUAACUGAAUGAGCAAAAUAAUAAACAAUAUUUGGAGUUGAUCAUUAUAAUAAAUUCUAUUUGCUAUUAAGAAAGAUGCGAAAAGUGCAUAAUAAAUUACGACAAUAUAUGAAAAAUGUUUUCAGCUUAAUUAUUUACGAUUCAUUGUUAUGCAUUUCUAACCAAUAAUGUAUGAAAUUUUGACAAGUGUCGAUUUUCAACGAAAUAAAAAUAUUUCUAAUAAUA